ensembl:snRNA U6 U6 spliceosomal RNA
UUGCUUGUUUCAGCAGCACAUAUACUAAACUUGGAACAAUACAGAGAACUUUGGUAUAGCCCCUGUGUGAGGAUGACAUGCAAAUUCACAAAGCAUUCCAUAUUUUU